rnacentral:rRNA from 1 species
AACGAACGCUGGCGGCAUGCCUAACACAUGCAAGUCGAACGAGACCUUCGGGUCUAUUGGCGCACGGGUGCGUAACUCGUGGUAACCUGCCCUUAGGGUCUGAAUAACUCCCCGAAAGGGGUUCUAAUACCGGAUAAUGUCUUCGGACCAAACAUUUAUCGCCUUUGGAUGGGCCCGCGUUGGAUUAGCUAGUUGGUAGGGUAAAAGCCUACCAAGGCGACGAUCCAUAGCUGGUCUGAGAGGAUGAUCAGCCACACUGGGACUGAGACACGGCCCAGACUCCUACGGGAGGCAGCAGUGGGGAAUAUUGGACAAUGGGCGAAAGCCUGAUCCAGCAAUGCCGCGUGAGUGAUGAAGGCCUUAGGGUUGUAAAGCUCUUUUACCCGGGAUGAUAAUGACAGUACCGGGAGAAUAAGCUCCGGCUAACUCCGUG